rnacentral:rRNA from 1 species
UACAGAGGCCCCGAGCGUUUGUUCGGAUUCAUUGGGCGUAAAGGGUGCGUAGGCGGUCUUCUAAGUUUGAUGUGAAAUCCCGGGGCUCAACCCUGGAAUUGCAUUGAAUACUGGAGGACUAGAGUACCGGAGAGGAAACUGGAAUUUACGGUGUAGCAGUGAAAUGCGUAGAGAUCGUAAGGAAGACCAGUGGCGGAAGGCGAGUUUCUGGACGGUAACUGACGCGUGAGGCACGAAGGCCAGGGGAGCAAACGGGAUAGAUACC